rnacentral:snoRNA from 1 species
UGUCACAGUGAUGACGACUGGUGACCUAGGACUCAAACAUGUACAGUAAAAAAGAAUGUGUUUGGAACUCUGAGGUCCAA